AGGUUUUUUCCGGGAUUCACUUGGGGCUAAAAGGGGCGUUUUAAGGCGGUCGAGUAAGUGGGGAUGUGAAAUGCCCUCGGCUCCACCCGGGGGAACCUGCAUCCCAAACUGCUUGGGCUCGAGUAUGGGAGAGGAUGAGGGAAUUCCUGGUGUAGCGGUGAAAUGCGUAGAUAUCAGGAGGAACACCGGUGGCGAAAGCGCUCAUCUGGCCCAAUACUGACGCUGAGGCGCGAAAGCUAGGGGAGCAAAAGGGAUUAGAUACCCCUGUAGUC
rnacentral:rRNA from 1 species